rnacentral:lncRNA from 1 species
GCCACCAGAGACAGCAGCAGUAAUCCACUGGGGUACGCUUCCGCGCUGUGGAGAGUAUGUUCUUUUGCUCUUCACAGUAAAUCUUGCUAAUGCUCACUUUUUGGGUCCACACUACUUUUAUGAACUGUAACACUCACUGCGAAGGUCUUUAGCUUAACUCCUGAAGCCAGCAAGACCACGAAUCCUCUGGGAGGCAUGAACAACUCCUGACCCGCCACCUUAAAGAGCUGUAACACUCACUGUGAAGGUCUGCGGCUUCACUCCUGAAGUCAGCGAGACCACGAACGCACCAGAAGGAAGAAACUCCCCACACAUGUGAACAUCUGAAGGAACAAACUCCCGACACUCCAUCUUCAAGAACUGUAACACUCACCGUGAGGGUCUGCAGCUUCAUUCUUGAAGUCAGCAAGACCAAGAACCCACCAGAAGAAACCAAUUCCGGCCACAGUGUCUCCUUGGCUUACUGUGGAAAAACUCAAGGGGAGAUUAUUCUCUGAAAAAUCUUACCAGGAGGUGAAAAUCUGACAGCUCAAAAUGAAGCAAAAACCCAAGAUUAAAACAGACACCAUUUUGUGCCCACUCAGUCUUCUUUCCAGGGUCAUACAUGUGUUUAUAACCGCACUUCUACAUUCUAUUAUGAGGGCAAGAGUUGUGGCUGCUAUAUAAAUGCUUCCUAGCAUAGUUCCUGACAACUAGGUGAUUCAUGAAUAUUUGCUGAAGAAAUAAAAAUAACUUUAUGAACAUCGUUACACAUCCUGCUUAAUUUUUCAAUUCGC